CACCGUACGGAUGUGCAGUGUAAGAACCGAAUCGACACGAUUAAGAAAAAGUACAAGAUCGAGAAGGCUAGGGUUACCUCCUCUAACGGAAUGUUGACAUCUUCGUGGCCAUUCUUUGAGAGCUUAGAUGCCUUGAUCGGAUCUAAUUUCACUGCUAAGAAACAAGCUUCUCCGUCUUUGUCUCCGUCUCCUCCAGUGGCUAUGCCUCUGACUUCCUACAGGAGGACUCCGACUUCGACUCCUUCUACGGCUGUGGUGUCGUUGCCCCAGAAGAGGCCGUUGGAUGAUGG
rnacentral:misc_RNA from 1 species